GAUGAACGCUAGCGGGAGGCCUAACACAUCCAAGCCGAGCGGUAUUUGUUCUUCGGAACAGAGAGAGCGGCGCACGGGUGCGGAACACGUGUGCAACCUGCCUUUAUCUGGGGGAUAGCCUUUCGAAAGGAAGAUUAAUACCCCAUAAUAUAUUGAGUGGCAUCAUUUGAUAUUGAAAACUCCGGUGGAUAGAGAUGGGCACGCGCAAGAUUAGAUAGUUGGUGAGGUAACGGCUCACCAAGUCAAUGAUCUUUAGGGGGCCUGAGAGGGUGAUCCCCCACACUGGUACUGAGACACGGACCAGACUCCUACGGGAGGCAGCAGUGAGGAAUAUUGGACAAUGGGUUAGCGCCUGAUCCAGCCAUCCCGCGUGAAGGACGACGGCCCUAUGGGUUGUAAACUUCUUUUGUAUAGGGAUAAACCUACUCUCGUGAGAGUAGCUGAAGGUACUAUACGAAUAAGCACCGGCUAACUCCGUG
rnacentral:rRNA from 1 species